AACGAACGCUGGCGGCGUGUUUAAGACAUGCAAGUCGCACGGGAUCAUUUUGGUAGCAAUACUCGGAUGGUCCAGUGGCGCACGGGUGAGUAACACGUGAAUGACAUGCCCUGCAGAGGGGGAUAGCCCAGGGAAACUUGGAUUAAUACCCCAUGGUAUCGCGAGGUUAAAGGGUGGCCGCAAGGCUGCCGCUGCAGGAUUGGUUCGCGUUCUAUCAGCUUGUUGGCGGGGUAACGGCCCACCAAGGCUACGACGGAUACCUGGGCUGAGAGGACGAUCAGGCACACUGGAACUGAGACACGGUCCAGACACCUACGGGUGGCAGCAGUCGAGAAUAAUUCACAAUGGGGGCAACCCUGAUGGUGCAACGCCGCGUGGAGGAUGAAGGUCUUCGGAUUGUAAACUCCUGUCAUCCGGGAGCAAGACCUGACGGUUAACAGCGGGCAGGGUUGAUAGUACCGGAAGAGGAAGGGACGGCUAACUUCGUGCCAGCCGCCGCCGUAAGAC
rnacentral:rRNA from 1 species